CCUGUGGAGUGUUAUAGCAAACGAAAGUAGCCGCGGCGAAAUCGGACACGCUGAAGCAGGAA
rnacentral:sRNA from 12 species